GAUGAACGCUGGCGGCGUGCCUAAUACAUGCAAGUCGAGCGAACAGACGAGGAGCUUGCUCCUCUGACGUUAGCGGCGGACGGGUGAGUAACACGUGGAUAACCUACCUAUAAGACUGGGAUAACUUCGGGAAACCGGAGCUAAUACCGGAUAAUAUAUUGAACCGCAUGGUUCAAUAGUGAAAGACGGUUUUGCUGUCACUUAUAGAUGGUUCCGCGCCGCAUUAGCUAGUUGGUAAGGUAACGGCUUACCAAGGCAACGAUGCGUAGCCGACCUGAGAGGGUGAUCGGCCACACUGGAACUGAGACACGGUCCAGACUCCUACGGGAGGCAGCAGUAGGGAAUCUUCCGCAAUGGGCGAAAGCCUGACGGAGCAACGCCGCGUGAGUGAUGAAGGUCUUCGGAUCGUAAAACUCUGUUAUUAGGGAAGAACAAAUGUGUAAGUAACUAUGCACGUCUUGACGGCACCUAAUCAGAAAGCCACGGCUAACUACGUG
rnacentral:rRNA from 1 species